rnacentral:rRNA from 1 species
AGAGUUUGAUCCUGGCUCAGAACGAACGCUGGCGGCAGGCUUAACACAUGCAAGUCGAGCGCCCCGCAAGGGGAGCGGCAGACGGGUGAGUAACGCGUGGGAACAUACCCUUUGGUUCGGAAUAACUCAGGGAAACUUGAGCUAAUACCGGAUACGUCCGUAAGGAGAAAGAUUUAUCGCCAAAGGAUUGGCCCGCGUCCGAUUAGCUAGUUGGUGAGGUAACGGCUCACCAAGGCUACGAUCGGUAGCUGGUCUGAGAGGAUGAUCAGCCACAUUGGGACUGAGACACGGCCCAAACUCCUACGGGAGGCAGCAGUGGGGAAUAUUGGACAAUGGGCGCAAGCCUGAUCCAGCCAUGCCGCGUGAGUGAUGAAGGCCUUAGGGUUGUAAAGCUCUUUUGUCCGGGAAGAUAAUGACUGUACCGGAAGAAUAAGCCCCGGCUAACUUCGUGCCAGCAGCCGCGGUAAUACGAAGGGGGCUAGCGUUGUUCGGAAUCACUGGGCGUAAAGCGCACGUAGGCGGACCGUUAAGUCGGAGGUGAAAGCCUGGGGCUCAACCCCAGAACUGCCUUCGAUACUGGCGGUCUUGAGUAUGGUAGAGGUUGGUGGAACUCCGAGUGUAGAGGUGAAAUUCGUAGAUAUUCGGAAGAACACCAGUGGCGAAGGCGGCCAACUGGACCAUUACUGACGCUGAGGUGCGAAAGCGUGGGGAGCAAACAGGAUUAGGUACCCUGGUAGUCCACGCUGUAAACGAUGAGAGCUAGCCGUUGGGGUGCAUGCACCUCAGUGGCGCAGCUAACG